ACAUUGAUGUAAAAGAGGAGGGCGGGUGAGCAGAGCCUACUUGUGUUCUCACUCUCUCACUCCCUGUCUCCAGCUCUCAUCCAACAAGCAACUUAGCCGCUGACACACUGCCAGCUGGUCCCAUCAAGUCAGGUGGCAUGGGUCACCCAACAAGCUGCCUGUUGGAAUAGCUGGCUGUUACAUAGCCUGUUAAGAACCAGGCGAACAAGACCACCAAAAUGUGGCAGCUGCUGUCCAGACAAGACACCUUCAGGCAGAGCUGGGUGCAGCCCGGUGACUCGUGCAGACAACAUCUGGGUUUUAGUUGGAAGACGGCCUCUGCAUUGGAUGAAGCUCUUCCCACAGGUAUGGAGUUUUACAAAGGACUUUAUGGAAUAAGAAUCUUACAGCAGGAAUAACGGUCCCAACCUCCUCCUACCGGAUGGGAUAAGGCUGAGGGCACAAAGGUUUCUCUGCUGCCUUAAGAGCUGAUGCUUAAUUGGAAUGAUUUCCAGGCCUUGCCCUUUCCAGCAGCUUCCUCCUCUGUAGGGCAACUAGAAAACAAUCAGCUUUGGGG
rnacentral:lncRNA from 1 species